rnacentral:rRNA from 1 species
GAUGAACGCUGGCGGCGUGCCUAAUACAUGCAAGUCGAGCGAACAGAUGAGGCUCUUUCUCCUCUGUCGUUAGCGGCGGACGGGUGAGUAACACGUGGAUAACCUACCUAUGAGACUGGGAUAACUUCGGGAAACCGGAUCUAGUACCGGAUAAUCUAUUGAACCGAAUGGUUCAACAGUGAAAGACGGUUUUGCUGUCCCUUAUAGAUGGAUCCGCGCCGCAUUAGCUAGUUGCUAAGGUAACGGCUUACAAAGGCAAGGAUGCGUAGCCGACCUGAGAGGGUGAUCGCCCACACGGGAACGGAGACACGGUCCAGACUCCUAGGGGAGGAAGCAGUAGGGAAUCUUCCGCAAUGGGGGAAAGCCUGACGGAGCAACGCCGCGUGAGUGAUGAAGGUCUUCGGAUCGUAAGACUCUGUUAUUAGGGAAGAACAAAUGUGGAAGUAACUAUGCACGUCUUGACGGUACCUAAUCAGAAAGCCACGGCUAACUACGUG